AACGAGAAUCAAGCUCGUUAAUCCUUGGAGGAAGAUUUGGAAGAAACUGUUUUCUUGAACUAGGCGGGUGCUAUGGCAAACGCUCUAUGAGGCAAAUUCAACAUAAAGAACUACAACCACUUCAGGAGAUUGAUUUGGAAGAUUUAACAGCUGAGGAGUACUUCAACUGACAUCUAUAUAUAGAUAUAUGUUUUUUAUGUUAAUUAGUUUUUGAUUUUAAAUAUCAAUCGAAUAUUUACAUUGUAAGAGUAGAAUAAAGGCAAUAGGUGAAAAUGUCUUAUGGUGCUGGCAAUUGUUAAGUAACACACUUUUAAUAUACAAAUAAUAAAUAUGUAACAGUUAUUAAAAA